CUUGGCUGGGAACCAGAACACCUUCUCUUUUGUGACUUCCUGUCGACCAAAGGGCCAGAGGGAGGUACCCUGCCCUUCUAGUGACAGGACGGGCUGCAGUCCCAUCACUGAGGACAUGCACCCAGGGAGGGGACAAAACCGGGGCUUCUUUUGCCAACAGUCUCCCACGGGGAAAGAAAACAAGGAUUUCAGAAGGUAGCAGAAGGGGACCUCUCUUUCUCGGUAGGCUCUCUUUUCCUUUCUCCUGUGCACGGGGCGCGAAUGGACCAUUUCCUCCGGCGGUACUCCGGGUGUUCUGAGUCGUUCAGACUUUGCUGUGCUUCUUUCCGUGUUUUCCACACGUGGAGGAGCCUUUGGUCAGCCCAGCACGGAUCCCCUGAGCCAAGGGACCCACCAGAGUGGGAUUCAGGUCCCGCUGGAGCAGAGAUUCACUCUCCCCUCCCAGGCAUGGAGGCAGCAGAGGGUCGGGCUGGGUCUCUCAAGUGAAGGGAGAGCUGCACACCCCCGUCCGUGUCCUGGCCUUGAUCUUUCCAGAAAGCAGCCGGGAAAGGUCCGACUGCUUUUUUUUUUUUUUAGAAAAGGUGUCAACAGUUUCUUUGCUUUGGAAAUGCCUACGCUCCAGAGUCCUUAGUAAACAGUCAGGAGGGGAUGGUGGCAUAUUCAUACCGCGGCCCCCAGCCCUCCAGGGAAGGGGCGGAGGACGCUCUGCUGUUACUGAAAGCAGAGCCUCUCGCCGACAGCGCGUGGCCUCCCUCAGGUCCCAGCGGGAAAGGCGGCCCCGGCCCCGAAGGUAACUCCGCGGGGAGGGCGGAGCCCGCUGGGGGAGGCCUGCCCACCGCGCCAGCCCCGGGUCCCCGCGGGGAGACGUCGGCCUCAGGCCCAGAAGGUACCGUUCCCGCAUGGCCCGGGGGAUUCUUGGACAACUGGGCCCGGAAGGGUGCGGCCUCAGAUGCAGAGCCGCUGUCAGCCAGAGCGAGCGGCGGACUGGAGCGCAGCGCGGGACCAGGGCUCGCCGGCCGCUGGGCGGACUGGCCGCGCUCUCCGCGGUCGGUUCCCGGAGGUGAUUCCUCUGCCGCAGGCGCGCUCAUCUGUCAGCGCCCGUGCAGCAGGGCCCGGGGCCUGGCACCGCUGGAGGACUCCUGCCGGGAUUCCGCGCGUUCCGAGGCGCGUCCGCCUGCCGAGCAGCGCCGCAAGGACGGCCCCGCGUGGGGGCCCGCCCGGCGUCACUUCUGCGGCCGGCCGUCAGGUGGCAGUGGCCGCUCGGGAAGCAGGCGGCGCGAGGCGCUUCCUCUCCGCGCACCUGCGCGCAGGUGCGUCCCCGCCGCCCGCGCCGGCGCACCUGGCCGCCUCGGGACCGCGGGGGCCGCCCCCCGCAGGAUGCCUCCCCGUUCAGCAACCCUCGCUCCGGGUCUGGAUUUCUCCUCUUAAACAGGUCAAGCCCGUCUCGAGUUCACGGAGGAAACAGGUAUGAGCGCAUGGUGUUCCAUAGAGCAGAAAUGCCUAGUGUGGACUCCCUGAUGAACCGGAAGAGCAGAGGCGUGCUCUGCUCUCAAGGAAUGUCCUGGUCGGCUACCGAGAGCCCCGCCCUGCGCAAGAAGGCAUGUGCACAGGCAGAGACGUAAGGAAGGACGGACAGAAAGUGUGCUGCCGCUUGGCCUGUAUUGACUCAUUGAAACCGCACGAUAGCCUUCUGAUUCUCUGAGCUACUUGGCUUGUCCCCAUUACACAGACAAGGAAACUGAGGCCCAGAGAAGUCGUGAGUUGCUGGAGCCCACAUCUUACUAAGUGGCCAAGGGAGAUGCAGAACGGAAGGUGGGAGGGGUGGGGCUGGGGAGGGGCGGAGACAGUGAGCGAGGGGCGAAAAGGCAGGAGAAGGAUGCCCGCCAGGGGCAGCGUGGGAUCCCCUCCACAGCCCACAGCUGUAGGCCGCCCGCAUGGCAUCGCACCUCUCCCCAGAGGCCUGGGCAGGGAGAUGCCACGCCCUCUGGGAGCCGGGCCCGGGGCCCCUUGCAGACAGUUUUGGACCACACUCUGCCAUCAGCCCAGACUGUGACAUGUUCUCAGAGCCCUUGCACAAACCAUAAUUUGUAACGCUACACUUGUGUGGUUUUCUGAUUGUCUGGCACACCCCCUCCCCCAGAGCGGAAGGGCGGGGAGCAGGCCAUGUGGUCACCACUGUGUCAUCAGUGCUGGGUGUGUGCUGGCACGUGGCUGACACUCACGGAAAGUAGGAGUGAAAGCACAGAACAGAAGGUCCACCCUGGCCAGGGUGCAGGAUGGGGGCUCUGGGGGUGCGGUUUGCACUAUCACCUCUUGUCUCGGCCCCUCCUGUCUCAGGCUCUGGCUCUCUCCUUGAACACGUCUGUGUCCUUUAGCACACGGGAGCUGGAGGGAUGCUUGCUGGUUGUAGACGGCGCUCAGAGAACAAGCGUGAACGAGCUGAUGAUGGCUCUGAGGCCACAUCCUUAGCUGCUUUCCAGCUGUGAAAUAAUCAAAGUGCAGCCACCCCGUUUCCCUGGAAGGGCUGUCCCAGGAGCGUGAGUGGGAGGUGACAAAGCUGGCUGUGUCCUGGGGUGUCACUCAUCGCUCUUUCCCUUUUCCUCCCAGGGACUGGUAAUGGCCUCAUAAAACUGGAGCCUGCACGUUGGCCUCUGAUCUGGUUCCUAUUCAUUUGCAGGAAUGAUUUCACCUAAAAGAAUUCACUUUAUUCCUCGACUGUAGAGGUGUCGUCUGCUGGUUAAAGAUGCAGAAUAAUAGUUUCUGGCGAUAUGGCUGCUUUCUGCAAGUUCCAGUAUCUAAUUUGGAAGAACAGUAAUUGUCGAUUGUUAGCAUCCUGGUGGUUUUAUUUCUUUAUUUUCUUAUCUUGCAGCAUUAUUUGUGCUUCCUGCCUCUAAACUGUGAUGAGCGAGAAUCCUCUGAGAGGAGGGGUCUGUGUGCUCCUCCCUGCUUUUGCCGUUCUCCUUUUGUAACAGCUGCAAGAAUUAGCGUCGACAUAAAUUCAGCCAACAGGAAUGCGUACACGCUACUGCUUUGUGGAUCUGACAAAUGGUAGUAGUGGGCGGCAAACCUGUAGAAUAGAAAACCUAUGAAACAGGCCUCAAAGCACCACUCUUUCGUCAAGUUGUGAUGAAGGGUAUCUACAGACUCGGGGAAGAAAACUCAACCAACCAGGGAGUGUGGGUGAAUUUCGUAGGUCUGGCAAACAAGCUGUUUAUACCACACAUGAGACUGAAACUCUAAGUUGCAAAGCUAUCAAGGCUGGGCUUGGAGGAGGAUCUUGAGUUUUCUCCGUUUACAAAGCCUGUGAAUUUGGUACUGUAAUGUAUUUAUCCCAGUCUCAGAGAAACAGGAGACACAGAGCCUGAAUCUCAUGAAAUCCAGAGAGGGGAGGACUUGGGAAUCCUACUAGUGGCACUUGGGGCUUGUCCUGCAGGAGUGGGGCGGGGUUACAAGUUUCUGUCCGUCCGACUGAGAAGCUCUGGGCCAACCCCACCCAGCCCACAUGCAGGUCCCCGGGUGGCUGAGAAAGGUCAGCCUUGAACACUCUGCAGCACGCACAGGCGCCACCUGGGGCCAAUGUCCUUACUGGCCUCCCACGUUCACCUGUGCCCAUGCUGGGCUUUCCCGUUUUUCCCAAUCCUUCUGCAGAUGGGUCAACUGAUGUUAUUUUCUUGGCUCCACCCUUGGACUUUGGAGGGAUUUCCACACGUCCUAGCUUUCUCCUCCUCUUUCUUCCCCUAGGGGGGACACCUCAACCUAACUUUGACUCCCAAGGACCCACCAACCAGUUCCCUUAUGGGCCCCAAGCCAACCUGUAAACCAGGGGUGAAAUGAGCUACCAUUUUGGAGCAGUGAGAAGGAGUGCCCGGGAGGGGAGAGAAAGGAGGGUGGAAGGCAAGCGUCUGUAGGUUCGAAGGGGCCACUAUUCUCACCAGACACGGCUGACGUGAGCCCCUCUGAUCGGGCUCCAUUUCAGCACCCGUGCCGCUAACUGCUCAGAUCUGUUUGCAAAUCUGCGUGAUGAUUCGAGACUGGAUAUGAGUAAUGGGAAAGGCUUUCCAUCGUGUUCUCUAAAUAGUAACACUACAAAAGAGUGAGGGAUCAAAUUUAUAGAGACAGCAGGACAGGAAUUUUGAAUAAGUAUAAUUGAUGGCUUCAGAGAGAUGCACGAGGAUAUUGCCUUUGUAAAAAAAAAAGAUAUUAAAAACUUGAUUGCUAAAUUAGGAAAAACAAAAGCUCAGUGGAUGGGCUGAAAAAUGGAAUAUUCACGUUCUAGGAAACGUAAGUGAGGGAUUAUCAUAAAAGUACAAAGAAAUAGAAAGCGUGAAACAGAAGUCAAGCGACACGAAGGACAGAGUAAGAAAUCGUAAAAGCCAUCAAGUAGCAGUUCUGGAAAGAAAGAACAGACAGAUUGGAAGGGAAGAAAUUUUCCGAGAAGUGAUAGAGGAAAUUCCCCCCCAAACUGAAGAAAUGCAGGGAUGCUGAGACUGAUGGGCCCCUCAAGAGAUCAGCAUGACGGUAGAGCAGUAUCUUCAAAGUUCUGGGUGAAAAUCACUUGGAACCUAUAACUUUAUAUGAAGCCUAACUAUUCAGUAUUACAAGGCUAUCAUGCAUUGUGAAGGCAAAAUAAAGGUAUUUCCAGGCAUGAAAGAAGCCAACCAUUUAAGGCCCAUAGACACUCUCUAAAAACAAACAAAUGCUGGGUGGUGAGCUCUAGCAAGAAUAAAAACGAUAGGGUACAAUGGUGAUCAAAUAAAACAAUAAAAGCUAUUUUUUUUAAGAGUAAA